rnacentral:rRNA from 1 species
AGUCGUACGCUUCUUUUUCCACCGGAGCUUGCUCCACCGGAAAAAGAGGAGUGGCGAACGGGUGAGUAACACGUGGGUAACCUGCCCAUCAGAAGGGGAUAACACUUGGAAACAGGUGCUAAUACCGUAUAACAAUCGAAACCGCAUGGUUUUGAUUUGAAAGGCGCUUUCGGGUGUCACUGAUGGAUGGACCCGCGGUGCAUUAGCUAGUUGGUGAGGUAACGGCUCACCAAGGCCACGAUGCAUAGCCGACCUGAGAGGGUGAUCGGCCACAUUGGGACUGAGACACGGCCCAAACUCCUACGGGAGGCAGCAGUAGGGAAUCUUCGGCAAUGGACGAAAGUCUGACCGAGCAACGCCGCGUGAGUGAAGAAGGUUUUCGGAUCGUAAAACUCUGUUGUUAGAGAAGAACAAGGAUGAGAGUAACUGUUCAUCCCUUGACGGUAUCUAACCAGAAAGCCACGGCUAACUACGUGCCAGCAGCCGCGGUAAUACGUAGGUGGCAAGCGUUGUCCGGAUUUAUUGGGCGUAAAGCGAGCGCAGGCGGUUUCUUAAGUCUGAUGUGAAAGCCCCCGGCUCAACCGGGGAGGGUCAUUGGAAACUGGGAGACUUGAGUGCAGAAGAGGAGAGUGGAAUUCCAUGUGUAGCGGUGAAAUGCGUAGAUAUAUGGAGGAACACCAGUGGCGAA